rnacentral:lncRNA from 1 species
GGGUAUUUAUCAAGAGUCUGUGUGACAUUGAUCAUUUAAUCUUUUAAAUUUGAUGGUGCUUCAUGUUCUUAAAGAAACUGUGGCACUGAACAUAAAAUCUUUUAAACUUCAAUGAACUACUACAACUUCUUACACAUUGAUGUUAUUUCUGAUUUAGGCUAUUUAGAAACACAUUUCAUUUGAUACAAAAGAUCACAAAAAUCAAUACCUGUAAAAAUAAAAUUUGAAAAAAACUGAAUCAUUUUCACAGAAUUGGGACAGUUUACAGCUUGACACUUUAUGUAAGACACCAGUCUAAAGUUCAAAACCAUAUGUUGUUGUUUUUGUGUCUUAUAUAUUUGUGUUGUUGGGUUGUUAAUCUCUUAAUUAUGAUAUGACCCACAUCUCCUUUCAUUCACAUAACUGUAUCAUAUCCUAAUUCUGACUGAAACCAAAGAAUAUAAAUGUAGACACAAUGAGGAAAAAGUCCUACUGAUAAUUGGUGUUAAAAAUAUAUGAUAAAGGUAAAUACACCAUUAAGCUAGAGCGUCCUACAAGUC